UAAUUGAAGAGUUUGAUCAUGGCUCAGAUUGAACGCUGGCGGCAGGCCUAACACAUGCAAGUCGGGCGGUAACAGGGAGAAGCUUGCUUCUCUGCUGACGAGCG
rnacentral:rRNA from 1 species